CGUGUAGUCACUGAUGCCCAUACAUACUGACAUAUACUCAUCAACAGACAUUGGCACACAAACUAAUGCUGCAUCCCAUACAAACACUGGCACACAAUCACUAAUGCAUACACACUCCCUGACAUACACACACAUUGAUCCACACUGACACAUUGAUCCAUACUGACACGCACACACACACACACUGACACAUUGAUCCAUACUGACACACACACACACACAUUGAUCCAUACUGACACAUUGAUCCAUACUGACACACACACACACAUUGAUCCAUACUGACACAUUGAUCCAUACUAACACACACACACACACACACAUUGAUCCAUAUUGACACACACACACAUUGAUCCAUACUGACACAUUGAUCCAUAAUGACACACACACACACACACAUACGUUGAUCCAUACUGACACACACACAUUGAUCCAUACUGACACACACACACAUUGAUCCAUAAUGACACAUUGAUCCAUACUGACACACACACACAUUGAUCCACACUGACACAUUGAUCCAUACUGACACACACACACACAUUGAUCCAUACUGACACAUUGAUCCAUACUGACACACACACACAUUGAUCCAUACUGACACAUUGAUCCAUACUGACACACACACACACAUUGAUCCAUACUGACACAUUGAUCCAUCCUGA